rnacentral:rRNA from 1 species
GGCUGCAGUGGGGAAUCUUAGACAAUGGGGGAAACCCUGAUCUAGCCAUGCCGCGUGAGCGAUGAAGGCCUUAGGGUUGUAAAGCUCUUUCAGUGGGGAAGAUAAUGACGGUACCCACAGAAGAAGCCCCGGCUAACUCCGUGCCAGCAGCCGCGGUAAUACGGAGGGGGCUAGCGUUGUUCGGAAUUACUGGGCGUAAAGCGCACGUAGGCGGACCGGAAAGUCAGAGGUGAAAUCCCAGGGCUCAACCUUGGAACUGCCUUUGAAACUCCUGGUCUUGAGGUCGAGAGAGGUGAGUGGAAUUCCGAGUGUAGAGGUGAAAUUCGUAGAUAUUCGGAGGAACACCAGUGGCGAAAGCGGCCUCCUGGGCUGUACCUGACGCUCAGACGCGAAAGCUAGGGGAGCGAACGGGAUUAGAAACCCCGGUAGUCCUAGCCGUAAACGAUGUCGACUUGGCGUCGGUGGGGUAAAAGCCAUCGGUGCCGGAGCAAACGCGGUAAGUCGACCGCCUGGGGACUACGGCCGCAAGGUUA